UCUAGCAGGCAUAUCACCCUAAAACUCACAACUGGCAAUCCACUGAAGCUCAGCAGGUGUGAGCCUGGUCAGUACCUGGAUGUGAGACCUCCUGGGAAAACUAAGGUUGCUGCUGGAA
rnacentral:rRNA from 1 species